UACGGAGGAUCCGAGCGUUAUCCGGAUUUAUUGGGUUUAAAGGGAGCGUAGGUGGAUUGUUAAGUCAGCGGUGAAAGUUUGUGGCUCAACCAUAAAAUUGCCGUUGAAACUGGAAGACUUGAGUGUGUUUGAGGUAGGCGGAAUGCGUGGUGUAGCGGUGAAAUGCAUAGAUAUAUGGAAGAACACCAGUGGCGAAGGCGGCUCUCUGGUCUGUAACUGACGCUGAGGCUCGAAAGCAUGGGUAGCGAACAGG
rnacentral:rRNA from 1 species